UACGUAGGGCGCAAGCGUUAUCCGGAAUUAUUGGGCGUAAAGAGCUCGUAGGCGGUUUGUCGCGUCUGCCGUGAAAGUCCGGGGCUCAACUCCGGAUCUGCGGUGGGUACGGGCAGACUAGAGUGAUGUAGGGGAGACUGGAAUUCCUGGUGUAGCGGUGGAAUGCGCAGAUAUCAGGAGGAACACCGAUGGCGAAGGCAGAUCUCUGGGCCGUAACUGACGCCUGAGGAGCGAAAGCAUGGGGAGCGAACAGG
rnacentral:rRNA from 1 species